ensembl:snRNA U5 U5 spliceosomal RNA
AUCACCAGGUUUCUCUUCAGAUGCUAUAAUCUUUCUCUUUACUAAAGAUUUCCGUGGAGAGGAGCAAUAUGAGUUUCAACCAAUUUUUUGAUGUUCUGCCGUAGGUGGGCU